UACGGAGGGUGCGAGCGUUGUCCGGAAUCAUUGGGCGUAAAGGGCGCGUAGGUGGCGGGACAAGCGUGCGGUGAAAGCCUGGGGCUCAACCCCGGGUCGGCCGUGCGAACUGUUUUGCUUGAGCACUGUAGAGGCAGGCGGAAUUCCGGGUGUAGCGGUGGAAUGCGUAGAUAUCUGGAGGAACACCGGUGGCGAAGGCGGCAUCCUGGACCGGCAUUGACGCUGAGGCGCGAAAGCCAGGGGAGCAAACGGG
rnacentral:rRNA from 1 species